rnacentral:rRNA from 1 species
AGCGGCGGACGGGUGAGUAAUGCUUGGGAAUAUGCCUUAUGGUGGGGGACAACAGUUGGAAACGACUGCUAAUACCGCAUGAUGUCUACGGACCAAAGUGGGGGACCUUCGGGCCUCACGCCAUAAGAUUAGCCCAAGUGGGAUUAGCUAGUUGGUGAGGUAAUGGCUCACCAAGGCGACGAUCCCUAGCUGGUUUGAGAGGAUGAUCAGCCACACUGGGACUGAGACACGGCCCAGACUCCUACGGGAGGCAGCAGUGGGGAAUAUUGCACAAUGGGCGCAAGCCUGAUGCAGCCAUGCCGCGUGUGUGAAGAAGGCCUUCGGGUUGUAAAGCACUUUCAGUAAGGAGGAAAGGUUAAGUGUUAAUAGCACUUAGCUGUGACGUUACUUACAGAAGAAGCACCGGCUAACUCCGUGCCAGCAGCCGCGGUAAUACGGAGGGUGCGAGCGUUAAUCGGAAUUACUGGGCGUAAAGCGUACGCAGGCGGUUUGUUAAGCGAGAUGUGAAAGCCCCGGGCUCAACCUGGGAACUGCAUUUCGAACUGGCAAACUAGAGUGUGAUAGAGGGUGGUAGAAUUUCAGGUGUAGCGGUGAAAUGCGUAGAGAUCUGAAGGAAUACCGAUGGCGAAGGCAGCCACCUGGGUCAACACUGACGCUCAUGUACGAAAGCGUGGGGAGCAAACAGGAUUAGAUACCCUGGUAGUCCACGCCGUAAACGAUGUCUACUAGAAGCUCGGGUCUUCGGACUUGUUUUUCAAAGCUAACGCAUUAAGUAGACCGCCCGGGGAGUACGGCCGCAAGGUUAAAACUCAAAUGAAUUGACGGGGGCCCGCACAAGCGGUGGAGCAGGUGGUUUAAUUCGAUGCAACGCGGAGAACCUUACCUACACUUGACAUACAGAGAACUUACCAGAGAUUGUUUGGUGCCUUCGGGACUCUGAUACAGUGCUGCAUGGCUUUCGUCAGCUCGGUUGGAGAAGUUGGGUUAAUCCCGCACGAGGGCACCCCUAUCUUAUUGCCGCGAUUCGUUGGGAAUCUAAGAGACGCCGGGAUAACCGAGAAGGGGGGAGAAAUCAGUCUAAGGGCC